rnacentral:ncRNA from 1 species
GAAGUCCACUAGGGGCGCCUGUAUGGCUGAGAUAAGGAAUAACCUUGGUCCCUUUGAACCUGAACUGGUUAGUACCAGCGUAGGAAAGUGGAGACGGGAUUCG